rnacentral:tRNA from 1 species
GGUGGGGUGGCUGAGCGGUUGAAAGCGGCAGUCUUGAAAACUGUUGUGGGCGCAAGUCCACCCAGGGUUCGAAUCCCUGCCCCACCG